rnacentral:rRNA from 1 species
UAGUGAGUUUGAUCCUGGCUCAGAACGAACGCUGGCGGCAGGCCUAACACAUGCAAGUCGAGCGAGGACUUCGGUCCUAGCGGCGGACGGGUGAGUAACGCGUGGGAACGUGCCCUUUGCUACGGAAUAGCCCUGGGAAACUGGGAGUAAUACCGUAUGUGCCCUUCGGGGGAAAGAUUUAUCGGCAAAGGAUCGGCCCGCGUUGGAUUAGGUAGUUGGUGGGGUAAUGGCCUACCAAGCCGACGAUCCAUAGCUGGUUUGAGAGGAUGAUCAGCCACACUGGGGACUGAGACACGGCCCAGACUCCUACGGGAGCAGCAGU